AUUUGUCCGUCUCUAAUGCAAUCCCCAUAAUCAUCUUAACUCGAAUCAUACUAACUUUUUGACACUACCAUCACAUCACCAUCAUGUCUGAUUUCCUAACUUCUCUGAUACUUCAAAUCACAAACAAAUCCUCUGCAUUCCAAGGCCCACAUCACUCAUCCUCGCAGAAAACAGAAGAAGAAGGAAGAAAAGAAGAAGAGGGGAACAUGAACCUCUCAACGAAAUCAUCAACCUCAGCAGUCCAAUACUAAGUUGUUUGUAGCUGUCCAACAAGUAUGGAGUCUUCUAAAGAACUCCAUGACUCUAUACUUGAGGAUGAAGCCAAGUUAUACCCUUCUGUUAAACAUGAUGUAUCCAUUACUGUAAUCGAAACAAGCUCUCAUAUUUUGGACAUCUGAGUUUAAGACAAGAGUCACAACAUUUGGCAAAGAAAAGCUCUCCAGAGAUGACAUUCAAAUUAAAAACUGGGACAUACGAUUUUCGCCAUUGCUUUUAUCUUUUAAAUCUAUGAAUACAAAAAGGAAUUCAAAGAUUACUACUCUUUUGUAGUCUUUUCUUCAACUACAUUGCAAAAAAACAUCAACUACAUUCAAGAAAAUUUCUUAAAUAUGAAUUGUCAAAUUUGAGGAUCAACUAUUCUACCUUGCAGAUACUGGUUUAAACAAGAAGGAAAUCUCAAAGCGGUUUUUCAUCAGCUCGCUAUCUUGAAGCCGACAUCCAUCACACACUUCUCAUUAUCUUCUUUCACUCAUUGUUUUAGUAAAAUGUACACACAAAUUUUGAUUUCAACUUAUUGAUUCUAGUGAGAGAAAUUCGUAUAACAUGUUUUAAUCAUAUAGCUAAACAUGUUAGACCAUGUUACACGGAUUUCUCCACCAAAAUCAAUAAGUUCAAAUUAAAAUUUGUGUGUACAUGAAAAC